rnacentral:tRNA from 1 species
UCCGGAGUAGCUCAGUGGUAGAGCAGUUCGCUGUUAACGAAUUGGUCGUCGGUUCGAGCCCGACCUCCGGAGCCA